rnacentral:snoRNA from 1 species
CUGCAAAUAUUCUUGUUGUUCUGAUUUUUGUCACCAUCAGGGUAAGCUCAACAUUUGCUAUAUUAAGACCAUGCAUGUGUCCCCAGACUUAGUUCUUUUCCUAGGUCUGGUUUUAUAAAUGCUGGAGAUAAAA